AUUUUCUAACAUUAUUUAGGGUCUGGGAAAGGGAGUACAAAUCUUUCCAGCAUUACCCCCAAAGAAAUCUUUGUUUUCUGUAGCCACCUACCCAACAUUCUCACAAACAAACCCAAAGUUUAACCCUGCAUGUGGAUUAAUUGAAAUGUAAAUAGAUUUUCAGCAUUGCAAGCUCCUCAUGUAAAUGUAAGGGAUUGCCUAGGAAGGAAUGAGUCCUGACCUGAGAUUCAAGGUCACAGUGGGCAGCCUAAGAGCUGAGCAGUUGGUAUAGCCCAUUCCAAGAUCAGGUGCACACAGGGAUUUCCUGAUGUCUGUGGGUGGCAAUCAAUGUUGCUGCUAAAUUUUUACAAAAUAAACACAUAUGUGUGAACAUUGCAAUAAAACAUUUUGGAGUGAUUAGAAUCCUUUGAAAAGUUUAUAAAGUCAGGUUUUGAAAAUUGAUGCCAUAUAGCAGAGUGAUUAUGCACAGAUGUGGAAUCAGGAAUGCCUGUUAUUAUUAUUAUUACUUCAUAGAAUAUUAACAUAUAUUAACAUAACAAAUUUUAAAUCUGCAUAACAGCAAGGACAAUAACUAAGUGUUGUCUUAAAGCUGAAAACAUUAGAUUAAAGCAUAUCAAGUGGUCACUGUUAUAGAAAAAUUGUCAUAUAAUGAAAAUUUCAUAUGUUUAAUCACAUAACUCUGUCAAGGAUACAUUAGGUAAAACUGCGUUCUUUAGUGGAAAGGUCUGUGAAGAAACAAAGAUAAAAGCAAUUGAUGGAGUGGUAGCAUUGAGAAAUAACUUUUCAGUCUUCAUUCCUAUUCAUAAUGUCGUAAUAUUAUUUAUAUUGUGCAAUUUAUUUUUC
rnacentral:lncRNA from 1 species